AUGGGUGCAGCUCCGGCCGCCAUGGGAGGCAUGGGUGGCUUUGGAGCACCCUCCGACGCUAUGGCCGCCAUGGGAGGCAUGAGUUUUGCUUCUCUCAUGGGAGGCAUGGGUGCACCACCGGCCGCCAUGGAUGGAAUGUCUUUCGAUGUGCCUUCUCACACACAUUCCCAUGAAGAUGCCGUUGAAGAUCUUGCCAACACCGUCGGAGCUUCACGUGAUGCGGUGCGUGAUGAGGAGAGGGAGGAAGAUUCAUCUUCGGAGGCGGAAGAAUCGUCUUCGGAAGAUGAGGACGAAGACGAGGAAGAUGAUUGA
rnacentral:rRNA from 1 species